rnacentral:lncRNA from 1 species
AGUACUUCUAAGAUUAUGAAAUUAAUGGAACGUUAACUCUUGCAGAUGGCACAUUGCACCAGAUCUGGUUCUGUGCCCGGCAGCAGCGAGCAGCGACAGGAUCUUCCCUUACCCCCGCCCUCGUCUCCACUAGAGGCAAUCCUAGCAACUCAAACCGAGCUGUUGAGGCAUCUUGUACAAGGACAACAGUAGCAGCCCCAUGGUGGAAGGGCUCAGCAGCAGCCGCAUGUUGCUCGCUAUG